UAGAUACCCUGGUAGUCCACGCCGUAAACUAUGAGAGCUAGCCGUCGGGCAGUAUACUGUUCGGUGGCGCAGCAAACGCAUUAAGCUCUCCGCCUGGGGAGUACGGUCGCAAGAUUAAAACUCAAAGGAAUUGACGGGGGCCCGCACAAGUAGCGGAGCAUGUGGUUUAAUUCGACGCAACGCGAAGAACCUUACCUAGACUUGACAUCCCGAUCGCGGUUACCAGAGAUGGUUUCCUUCAGUUAGGCUG
rnacentral:rRNA from 1 species